GACGAACGCUGGCUGCGUGCCUAAUACAUGCAAGUCGAGCGAGCGGCGGACGUGUGAGUAAUGUAUGGGGACUGCCCGAUAGAGGGGGAUAACUACUGGAAACGGUGGCUCAUACCGCAUACUAUCGGAUAACCCAUAUGGGAUUAGCUAGUAGGUGGGGUAAAGGCUCCACUAGGCGACGAUCUCUAGCUGGUCUGAGAGGAUGAUCAGCCACACUGGGACUGAGACACGGCCCAGACUCCUACGGAGGCAGCAGUGGGGAAUAGUGCACAAGGGGCGCAAGCCUGAUGCAGCCAUGCCGAGUGUAUGAAGAAGGCAUUAGGGUUGUAAAGUACGUUCAGCGGGGAGGCGUUACCCGCAGAAGAAGCACCGGCUAACUCCGUGCCAGCAGCCGCGGUAAUAC
rnacentral:rRNA from 1 species